UUGAAGUGAUGACAUUGAGAUUGGGGUGAGGUGAGAAUGUGGUGUGAGAGUUGAAAUAAAUAAUUUAACUUCGUAGUAUUAAGUAAGAGCGUGUGUGUGUGUUCUACCCAUGGUUAUUACAAGGGGACCCUGAACAUAUAUUGCUGAUCUCGGAGUGCAUCUGAGGAAUGCUGCGCAGCAAAGGGCCUUACUGCAGCAUUGCCAGUGAUUAGGGCCCUAAACUGGAUCCCCUGAAUAACCCAAACAUCCCUGUAUCUCUAACAAGUGCAUGAUUACAUGUACCUGUGAUCUGAUCUGU